rnacentral:misc_RNA from 1 species
GUUAAGGAAGGAAGAGUAUGAAAGAUAAAAUGAAAUGUUAGUAAUUAGGUAUUAGAGGAAAGGAGUGUUAAGAAAAUGUUUAAAAGGGAUUUUGAAAAGUAAAGAUUACUUGGUAGAUGAAUUUGUUUAAAGUGUUCGUUAAUUUAUUUUUUGUAAGAAUAAAUUAUUUUGUAAGGUUUUAUUGUAAUAUGUUUGAUAUAUAGUAUUUGUAGUUAAUAGAUUUU